rnacentral:rRNA from 1 species
UGGGGAAUCUUGGACAAUGGGGGAAACCCUGAUCCAGCGAUACCGCGUGUGUGAAGAAGGCCUUCGGGUUGUAAAGCACUUUAGGUGGGGAAGAAAGGUGCGAGAGGAAUAUUCUCGUACUGUGACGGUACCCACAGAAUAAGCACCGGCUAACUCUGUGCCAGCAGCCGCGGUAAUACAGAGGGUGCAAGCGUUAAUCAGAAUGACUGGGCGUAAAGGGCGUGUAGGUGGUUGACUAGGUUUGAUGUGAAAUCCCCGGGCUUAACCUGGGAAUGGCGUCGAAAACGGGUUGACUAGAGUGAGAGAGAGGGUUGUGGAAUUUCCGGUGUAGCGGUGAAAUGCGUAGAUAUCGGAAAGAACAUCAGUGGCGAAGGCGACAACCUGGCUCUUAACUGACACUGAGGCGCGAAGGCGUGGGGAGCAAACAGGAUUAGAUACCCCGGUAGUCC